UACGUAGGGUGCGAGCGUUAAUCGGAAUUACUGGGCGUAAAGCGUGCGCAGGCGGCGCGUUAAGACAGGUGUGAAAGCCCCGAGCUUAACUUGGGAAUUGCGCUUGUGACUGGCGUGCUGGAGUGUGGCAGAGGGAGGUGGAAUUCCACGUGUAGCAGUGAAAUGCGUAGAGAUGUGGAGGAACACCGAUGGCGAAGGCAGCCUCCUGGGCCAGCACUGACGCUCAUGCACGAAAGCGUGG
rnacentral:rRNA from 1 species